UCCAGGUCGAUGCAGAAUUAUAGGAGAAUU
rnacentral:piRNA from 1 species